GGUGCCUUGGAUGAGUGGCUUAGUCAACGGUCUGCAAAACCGUCUACAGCAGUUCGAAUCUGCUAGGCACCUCCA
rnacentral:tRNA from 3 species